rnacentral:rRNA from 1 species
UACGGGAGGCAGCAGUGGGGAAUAUUGCACAAUGGGCGCAAGCCUGAUGCAGCCAUGCCGCGUGUAUGAAGAAGGCCUUCGGGUUGUAAAGUACUUUCAGUCGUGAGGAAGGUGUUAAGGUUAAUAACCUUAGCAAUUGACGUUAGCGACAGAAGAAGCACCGGCUAACUCCGUGCCAGCAGCCGCGGUAAUACGGAGGGUGCGAGCGUUAAUCGGAAUUACUGGGCGUAAAGGGCACGCAGGCGGUUAAUUAAGUUGGAUGUGAAAUCCCCGGGCUUAACCUGGGAAUGGCAUUCAAGACUGGUUAGCUAGAGUCUUGUAGAGGGGGUAGAAUUCCAUGUGUAGCGGUGAAAUGCGUAGAGAUGCGGAGGAAUACCGGUGGCGAAGGCGGCCCCUGGACAAAGACUGACGCUCAUGUGCGAAAGCGUGGGGAGCAAAC